ACGAUGCGCCGGCUCAACAGAACGAGUGUUUUAGGCUCAUCGCUUCACCAGUCACCACCCCGACAGAGACCGCCACCGUUGUCAAGCAUGUUGGGUGCACCGAGUCCGGCAGCAGGCGAAUUCAGACGCCGUCUUGCACGGCUUCAGGGGUGAAGGGCGGGCUAGGCAGCAGAGGCACUAACGGGCCGAAGAUCCUGGCAGCCCUCUCCGCGCCGAGGGGGCAGCACCAUCCGCGAGAACCCUCAAAGAGCUCUGAAGGCAGGGCUGCCCGUCGAGUGGCUGAUAGAGGGACAAGACAAUGAGGUGCUCACAGGGGUGGAAGCUUGCCACGCGGGAAGGCGACACGCCACGGGGCUGCCUUUUCCUCUGCCAGAGUGCACUCCAAUGCAGCUGUGUUGCGCGUGCAGUCGACUGGCCACGCUCACGGACGACCUGACCGGAGGAGGGCUGUACCGCCAAGUCAGCACUGCGGAGAGAAGCGACUGCUGCAUUCCCCUGCACACACGACAUCGCUGGCCAGCCGGUAUCCCCGCAUGGGGGUCGACUCGCCGAAAGGCACGGCAGCGUACUUUUGGCUUCGCCUCCGUCCGCCAUCGUGGCGGCCGGACGUACGCAAGACCUUCUCGAGGAUCGCGGCACAGCGGCCUCUGACCUUCGUCAGGUGCAUGGCGCAACAACGCCUCGGCGCUGGCUGCGGGAGCUUCUCAUGUUGAUCUAUGUGUUCGCAGACGCAUCAGAUGAAGCGGUACGACGGCCCCCAAGACCGCACCCAUGCCGCUUGCGCCCCGGUCUUCCACAGGGGCACAGCGAAAGGCGGCCUGGGGAGGCGAGGCUUCCGUGCACGGCUACGUGGACUCUUCCGUAACUGUAAAACCGAACAGACGCCUCCACAAAGGGCCGGGGGCCGUGUCCUCCCCUUUCCUUAUCAUGUGCGACCGGUUUGACACCAAGGAGAACGUCCCGCUGGAGUAAUCCGAGGCAACUCAUCGCUGAGCGUCGCGAGGAGGACCUGAAAAGCGUCGAUCAAUCGUGUUCCGCUACGCAACGAUGCACAGCGCGCUGACACCCCCGUGCCGCUGUGUGCUGAUCGGGGACAGCCCAUGCACACCGAGGAAUCGCCGGAAUGGUCAGCAGCGCACGGCAGGAUGGCACCAGUUGAUGGGCAGCGAGAUUCCAAAUCGGGCGCCAUACGUGCCCGGUGGGUCUGACCUACAUAGGAGGGUCAGAGCCAAUCACCUCGUCAGGCCCUCUUGGCCGCAUCCACCGAAGAGCUACUGCGCAUGGCGCGCGGCCCCACAACUUUCGUGGGCGAGAAAUGCGAGUGGCACGACAACCCCGGACGUCUGCAAAACUCAGUGAAAUCGCUUUCGAUGCUGAAGCCCUCGCUCCACGACCAGCAGGGCACGCACGCUUCUCCUUUCCCCGCUUCUCCACUAUCCCUGCUGGUUGGGGGCACCUCGGCGCGUGGUAUCCAUGGCUCUGUACCCGCUCUGUAUGGGGGAGAAGCCAGGCAGCCUCCCAGCCCCCUAUCCAUUGCCCAUGCCGAGCUACUUCCGGCGGUGACACGGUCACGCACCCACGAAGUGGGGUGGGGGUGGAGGUGAGAGCGAUGUGCUGCUGCUGAUGUCUGCGGUGGGAGACUGGAUGGCGCUGCGUCGGAGCGGGCUGCGGCAGCGAGCACGUCUGCGCCGCCCACAUGAUGGACGAGGUGUGAGCGUGGCUGGAGGAUAUCCCACCCGGCCCUGGCACUGCCUCCUGGUGUGGGGAGCCUGCGCCACGGCGAGGGGGAUGCACCAGGAGGGGUGGCGGCCGGCGGAGCGGGUGGUUUGCAGAGCUGGAGUCAGCGGCCGUGCUUGUGUGCCUGGGUGGGCGCAGCGCUGUGACGCGUGUGCCCACCGCUGCCUCGUCCCGCGCGGUGUGACCUGCGGCAUGUGACGGGAGAGGUGGGGUCGUGCUGCGCGGCAGAGGAUGGCCAUUCUGGGGAGUACUAAUGGCUUGCCGGCCACGUGUUUUUUUUUCGCGCUUCGCGUGGCUCGAAGCGAGCCGGCGUGCUCCGGCUCGAGUGGCGGCCGCGCCGCCACGUAGUGUUCAACGACACAUCAGAGUGUCGCAGCUGCUGGUAUUUCUACAGAGAGACAAGUGCACGAACAGCUUCACUGUUUUGGAGGGGGAUCAGACAUGCGAAUGCGAAGCGCGCACUUCAUGUGUCGAGAGUGUUGCGUGCUGUAAGCCUCUUCCGCACACGCACGUGCGGCGUGUGGACCGUGAUGCACUAUACCCCGCGGGCGUUAGCGUUGCGCUUAUGAGGGAGGGACGUUCCUCACAUGUUCCCCACACCCCUGAUGUAGUCUGCAUCUGUGUGCUUUUUUUUUUUCGUCUCUCCCUUUCCCUCUGACCCAUUUCCUCAACACUGCGCCCCCACCACUGCGACCGCCAAACUCUCCGUCGCUCCAUCGUUGUCUGCUUCGAGACGAUAAAGACGUUGCACGCACCCCUGCUCCUCCUCCUGCACCCCCCUCUCUCCGCAGCGAAAAAAGAACGGAAGGCGAACAGGAGGCGACGAAGGAACGCACACACGCACAGACGCACAGAGGCGGGAGAAGACGGGGCGCAAGAAGCACGCACACGAGAAGGCACACAGCAGCGUCACGUGCGCUGCCGUUUCGGGUGUGCUCUUCGGUACUUCUGCUGCCCCUUUGCUCUGUUGGUCAUCUCCUCCCUUCUUACUCCUGGCUCUGCCUCUCCGGCCAAUCCUCUGCGCGUCUGCGAGAACUGCGAGGGUGUAUUCUCCUUCUGUCGUCGACGCCUCGCUUCCCUUUUCUGCUCCAGUGCGUUGAUCGACGCUCUCUGGCGCUGUGGAGGAUUCCGUGCCCUUGCUUUGCUCGGUCACACACUACUCUCUUUCUCUCCCCACGGACUCCUUCCGUGCCCUGUCGCUGCUUCCUGACGAGGGAGAGCGAGCGAGCGAGUGCGAGGACCCUGAGGGACACUCCUCCAGCGCGUCAAGUGGAAUCUUCCCCUACCGCUCGAAAAACAAAGGGGGAGGGAGUAAGGCUAACGAAGAGAAAGGCGUGCGUGUUGCCGCAAAACACAUAAAAAGCACUGCCCACCUGCGUGCGCAUCAGCUUCGUCACCACAGACACAAGCACAGGCAGGGGCACACGCGAGCAACUCCCUCCGCUCACCCACCCGCCUGUUCCCGUUGCCCAGGCUCCGUCUCCCCUCCGUCUCCGUCCCCUCCCCUCCGGCAAACCUCUUAUUGGCCUACCAGUGUGUGCGUGUGUGUGUGUCGACGCGCGCUUGAGUUUCAUUUGCCACCCCCUUUUUCAGCUCCCAUUUCUUCCCCUCCUCACCAUCCGAGGCCGUACGUGUAUCUGUGUGUGCGACGGAGGCCACGGCGACUGCGUUUCGACCACUUUUCUGCCACCGCAUCCAACGCACCUCAGCUGGAAGGAGUAAGGAAACAAAGGGCAGGAAGACCUGCAAAGGGUGGCAGCAGAAGAACCGCCGUAAGACACAGUCGUAUUUGUCUUCUUUCUCUAUUCACCCUCCUCCUCGCAAACUCGCUUCCCCUAUUUCGUGCUUGGUUUUUCCUUUUCCGUUCUGCCGUCUGUAGCGUCGCCCUCAACGUUCUCUUCCUCAUCCUGUCGACCUCCCUCAGCUUCCUUGUGCACUCUGUUUGCAUUGUCGCCCUCUUUUUGCGUUUGCUUAACGUCGCCGUCUCCACCUCCUCUCUUGCUCUCCCCCGUGUUCGGUGGUGUCGCGCACGAGGCACUCGCUUUUCUGGCUUUUCUGGCUUUUCUGGUUUCCUUUUCGCUCCCCACUUCCCUGUCCCAGUCGUCUUGUUUGUUUCUUCUCUGUUCUUUAUUAUCAUUUUUUCUUCUCUCGCGUGCUCGCAGCAUCGCGAGCGACGUCUGUAUCCACUCGUUGCCGUGUAGAAGGGCAGGCGGCAGUUGCAGCGACAGAAACACGCAAGGGCACCGAACAGAAGCGCCAAGGUUUUUGUGCUUCUCCCUUGAGGCUGCGUGUGUGUGUGUGUGUUUCCGUUGCCGUGUCUCCGAGUGCCCGAGUCGAGGCGUGAGCCCUGACCUGUCUCGAGAGCACUACAGUUGUGCGGCGCACCCAUACUCAGCCGUACGCGGUGCCCACCCGCCCACUCAUCCUUCACCCCACCACCGUAAAGCAGCAAGAGACAGCCUGAUAGCACACCCGAAGUGGAAAGACAUUUUUGAUCAACUUUAGCGGCGGCAGACAGCAACAACAAAGCAUCCCUCCAACCCACCCCUGAAACAACAACAGCAUACCUCCUUUUCUGCUGCUUUUACGUGUUUCCGUGCUUCACUUUCUCUCUCUCUGCCUGGACUACUCCUCUUACCUCCCUUUAGGCUCUCGCUGUUCUCCGCGUCUCUUCUCUGUGUGGGUGCGUAUCUGCGUAGUCGAGGAACGCUUUCGCAUAUUCUAUCUGCAUUGCAAGGGUCGACAACGGCAUCAUCUGAGAAGCGGCAGCAGGAAGCUCUACAAGGGACGGUAAAGGGCACGACAGGCAAGCUAGAGUCGUGCUGGGUUUGUUGUUGUGCUUCCGUGAGCUUAAGCCCGUUCGUGGUUGUUGUGUGUACUCUCCCCCUACUGCCUAGCUUGCUCUUUUCAUUCAACUCCUCUCGUUUCUCUCUCUCCCUGUUUGUGUGUUUGGGGACAUCCUGAGUGCUGGAUUAUCGCGCUCGCCUUUCCCAGCCGUGUUUCUCUUUGCGUUACGCGUUCGCGUCUGUCCUGAUUUUUUUCGUGUUUGGUUUUCAUUGUCGCGCGCCCUCGUCCUUUGUGUCUUUUUGUGUUGGCAUUUUUGGUCUCUCAUUGAACUCGUUUCUCGGUUUCUGCAUAACCACCAACCUGCCGCUCUCUAUCAAUAUAUGCAUGUAUCUCUGCACCUAAGUUGAAACCACACCGGACAAGAGAACAGAAACGCGCAAACAACAAGGAAAACAAGCAAAAGAACGCAUACUCGAUUCUAGUUUCAAGUACCAGUUUAUAUUUCCCUCUUAUGAUUUCCCCCUCUUAUGUUUCCGUUUCUUUAUCCAAGCACUUUUAUGCUUUUGUUCGGUCGUUCCUGUUGUUUCGCUCAACUCUUCGUCAGCAGUAUUGUCUGCCACCCCUGCUCUCCCCUCGUCCCCCCUUCCUCCUCGCCUCACUACUUCGUAUGCGGGUUCGUGGAUUCCUUUUUCUUUCCUUUUUCUUUCAUUUUUCGUGUUUUUCUUGUUUCGCUCGCUCACUGGUUUGUUUGCACGUGUCCCAUUGAGCGUCUCCUCGCGCACCCCUUCUCUCUGAUUCCAUUCGUUUAGGUAUUUUCCGGCAAAAGACACUGCCGCUGGCUGCGUGGCUCUCUGCCCCUUUCUGCGCAGACAACUCUCGCCUCCUCCUUCCCACAUCCCUGGCUCGUCGUGCGUGGUGUCUCGACUCCGUGCCCCCCCCCUUUGCCUUUCACUUGCUUUCUCUCUCUUGUGCAUAUACAUACAUACAUAUGUAUAUAUAUAUAUGUAUAUAUUCGAUUUCCAGGCAAACCGAGACCACGAACCGCGAGGAAAUCCAGCGAGCCGUCAGCAAUAGCACGCGCACGUAGGCACCAUCAAAGAUAGCUGUGCAAGUAUAACAUUUUAAGGUUGUUUCCACCACCUCUCUUUGUGCUGCUGUGCUGUUCUUGUUUCCGAUUUUUAUUUGUCCUCUGAAGUGGUACGAAACGUUUUCUGAGCUUUCUUUUGUCCGUUCAUUUGUGAUGUUUAUAUUCCUUCCGUAUUUUGCAAUCGAACGCGUGCCGACCACACCAAAAAAGCGUGUCUCUCCGCUGUCUGCCUCUUCCCUCUCGGCCCCCACUCUUUCUCGGCAGGUGAAGUGUUUCCUCUUUCUUUUUUCCUUUUGCGUGUGAUCGUGUGCGUGUGUGUGGCAGAGGAGGGUAAGCGUGCGUCCCUCUGGCUGUUCUCUUCACUUCCACCCACCCACCCACCGUCAGAUUCUCCAGUGCAACCACCGCGCAAGUGACGCGAUUUCACGUUAGUCUGGACUGGCUGGCGUCCUUUCUCCCUCGCGCUCUCUCUCGUUUCUUGUUUUUGUUUUCGCUUUGCGGUUCUUCCUGUCUUCAGUCUGUUUUUUGCAGCCAUCUAUCUUCCCCUGCGCGCCUCGGCGUCUGCGGGUGUGCUGUUCUCCUCCAGCGCAGCAUCACAGCCACGGCUCACGCCUUGGAUCAGCGUAAGAGCAAUAUCAGAAGGCUACACACAGGCAUAGACGAAGGAAGCGUACGCACUAACCCUGACAGCGCAGAAUCCACUUGCCGAUCGCAGCAGUAGACCCUUCUCUUCGCCUCACAGCAUUUUGUUUGCCCCCCUUGUACGAGUGCCUACGGUGAUUUGCACCGGCAUCUCGUUCUGUGCGCUUGUGCGUGCGCAUACGAACGCGAGCACGUCUGGGCUUCGCGUAGGGGCGAGACUUUUGAUUCGGCUCUAUUUGCAAAUCACCCAACCGUUUGGCCGCGCCAAUCUCCAAGAUGAUGCACAUCGCCCCUCUGACACUCACAGCGCAGCUGUGCUACCUCAUUGCUGGCACGGUGGUGUGCGUCUUCUUUACCGUCUUUGGUUACCUGGUGUGGCGUACGCAGGGCUAUUACGAGCUUACACCUGAAGGGCAGGAAAGCAGCGCCGGCUUUACGCCGAACGGUAUCGCCGGUGUCACGGGCUUCUUCACGUUCGCCGGCCUCGCUGUGGCGCUUCUCAUCGAGACGACGCUCUUCUACGUGCGCUACGCCUUCCACCCAUCCCACAAGGGCCGCUACUGGGCGAUGCACCGGUAUGCCUCCGUGAUCCUUCAGGCAGCUCUGGGUAUCCUCUACGUGGCGACUGGUGUGACGCUCCUCGUCGAGUGGGGCGGCAAUCCUGCACAGUGCGCUUUCAUCUUCUGCUUGGGAGUCGACAAGUACCCGGAGGCGCCUCGAACGCGCGGUGAGGACUUCAAUGUUACUCUCUCCGUGAUCACCUUCUUCGUCCUGGUGCCUGCAGGGCUGGUGCUGCUGUACCGCGUCUUCACUACUGUCAUGCUGCAGAGGACCGCGAAGGUGGUGCGCGAGCGUGACGCGGCGAGCGUGGCAGCCGGCGCGCAAGCGUCCAGCAGCGCUUCCGGCCAGUCCACCGGCGAAGAGACGCCCUCGCCGGGAAGGGGUCGUGGUGCGAUUGCUGCGGUCGCGACGGAGGCGAACCCAAUGGCGAAGUCGGAGCGCAUGUGGCCAUUUCAGGCGAGAUCGAGGGUGAAGCAGGUGUGCCGCCUUGUCGGCGUGCUGAUUGGCAUCCUGGUGUGCGCCAUUCUCUCCUUCUGGCUGCCAAAUGACUCGCGCCGUUGGAGCCCCGACUGUAUCGCCUCCUUCGCUCGCAAUGGCAUCUCGCGGGAGAGACACACUACUAACAUGACUGUGCCGGAGAUGCCGGACGCGUGGCUCCGCACCGGCCAGAUCCGCUUCUCUGAUGACCUGACGCUGAAGCUGUUCCCGGGCAACGUCUUCUUCUACGCGUACCUGCUGACGACGGCGAUCGUUGUGUUGGUGCUGCGGCUGACGCAGCGCGGGCGGUACUGGGUGCAGCGCCGCAUUCCGCUGUGCGCGUGCUUCACAUAUGGCGAGGCCGCUUUUGUCGCCGCCACGGCGCUGCUGUCGGUCAUGUUCUUCAUCUACUGGCUGCACGACCACAACUACAAGCAGACCUGGACUGUGACAGCGAAUGAGAGUGCACAGAUUGAGGCGCCGGAGCGGUGGGCCCGCGGGCUGGGCCAGCUGGCCAUCCUGUUCCUUUCGCUGCUGUUGCUGCCGGUGAGCCGUCAGUCGGUGGUGGUCAGCGUGCUUGGUGUGUCGCGGGAUGGCAUGUUGUGGUUCCACCGCGCUGUCGGCUACGCCAUGCUGGCGGCCACGGUCGGCCACAUCGUGGCCUUCUAUGUGUCCUACGCCAGUUUUGGGUAUCUCAUGCAGAACCUGAACACCGUCACCAAUCGCGUGUGCAAGAAGGGUGUUUACGACGACUACACCGUUUUGGUCGUGACGUGGACAACGUGGUUCCUGCUGAUCUCCAUGGGCAUCUUCGCCUUCAAUCUGGUGCGCCGCCGCCACUACGAGCUGUUCUACUACACGCACCUCGCCGCGACCUACAUGACGCUACCCGCCAUGGUCUUCCACGCCUCUGCUGGCUGGAUGUACCUGCUCCCCGGCAUGACGGUGUUCCUGUCUGACCAGCUGGUGCGUCUGUGGCAGCGGUCCGCCGUGGUGCGCGUCGUGCGCGCGCGCGUGAUCGGCGACGACACGACGGAGCUGGCCUUCUCUGUGCCCGGGCGACGGGACAUGCGGCACGUGCACCCGGGGCAGUACGUGCUGGUGUGCGUGCCGGAGCUGACGGCGCUGCAGUGGCACCCCUUCACUCUGAUCAACGUCGUGGACGAGGAGUCGGCUGCCGUCGGAAGCUCGAAGGCGAGCACGACGGGGACCGUGUUCUACGUGCACGUCAAGUCGAUGGGGCCGAAGACGUGGACGGGGCGGCUGUACGACCUAGUGAGCCGCGGCGAAGAGAUCACGAUGGCUGUGGAGGGGCCUUGUGGGACGCCGGUGGACUACCGCCACUAUGACAAUAUUGUUCUGGUUGCCGGUGGCAUCGGCGCGACGCCGUGCGUAUCGAUCCUCGGGUCGCUGCUGCGCCAGUGCCACGCUCUCGGCCACAGUGGCGCUAGCCCACGUGUGGAUUUCAUUUGGUCUACUCGCUCUGCGCGUCACGUGAAGGCUGUAGCAGACAUGCUGCAGCUGCCGAUGCGGUGUGGCGACGUGGUUCGUCAGCCUGCAACCCGUUCGGCGUUGAAGAAGAUCGACACGUGUGCGGCCCCCGACGACAUCACCAAAGAUGCCAGACUGAAUACCGAGAUCAUCCAGCCCGCCGACUCCCUGGAGCAGGACGAGCCGCUAAAUGAUGAACUCAGUGCGGUGAACGAGGUCGUCCGCAUUGCUGACGACGCAGCGCAAAAAGUUUUCAUCGACGUCUACGUCACUCGUAAGACGGAGCUGCGGCAUUUUUCCAACGGAGAUGCGUGCCUGGGCGAGCAGUGCCCAUCAAAGGCCCUCCUCUCGGCAAGGAAAGGCUUUGUGGAGCUGGAUGGCAAACCGCUUAGUUGCGCGGGUGCCAUUGAGAAUGCCCAAAAUGCUGUGGACAGCGCCUCUCCUUGGAAGCAGAAGGCAGCGGCGGCGAUGACGCCCGGGCUGCAUGGCAAGGCUGACGAUGCGGGAGAAGCGGAGGAGAUGGUGUUCUCCAAUGAGCCUAUGGGCAGUGAAAGCGAAGGCUUUGAUUCGGCGAGCGCCGAUGGCUGUGAGGAUGGCAUCGAAGGCGCUUCCGAGUCGACUGCGCAUAAAAAGGAGCGGAAAACUGUUGUCGACACUGCAUCUGCUACGGAUCAGGAAGGUGCCUUGGUGUCAAAUGGUCUUUCCAAGUGGUCGUCGAGCUCUGUUAUGAAGUCGGGCGAGCGCCUGCAUGACAACAGCGACAGCAGCGGCAGCGGGUGUGUGGCGGUGAAGGUGCACCUGGGGCGCCCCGAUGUCGAUCGCCUCAUCCGCGAGGCACUCAAGCAGCCUGGAACUGGCGUCCAUAAAUCCUCGAGACUGGACACGGCCCGCACGUUGUUGUUUGUGUGCGGUCCGAACUCGCUCGUUCGCCAGGUCACGUCCUCAGGGGCGCAGCUCGGUGUGGCGGUGCACAAGGAAGAAUUCCUCUUCUAGGUUUCUCUCAUGUGCGUGCCUGCGUGCUCCCUCUGUCGCCCCGUCAAUCUCUAAUGCUGGUCUUCCGUCUCGCGAACGCUUCCUCGCUAACUUUUGUUGGCGACUUGCCGCUGCGCUAUCAAGAUAGGCAGAGGGAGAGAGUCAUGUACAGCACCUCCUCCCCCAACUCCUCCAUCUGUUCGUGAAAACACGCAAGUGCUUGGGCGGAUGCGUGCUCCUCAAGCUGCGUGGGGCUUUCGCCGCACACGGCGAUGCUCCAGAGGCACUUUGCGUGCACAUGUCUGUGUUUUAGAGUGAAGGUGGCAAUGCAUGUCUGCCCUCUCUCUCUGCCAGAGACGGGGAGAGAGAGGUGGCGUGGUGGUCUGCGAUGAUGACAAGAAUGAGUUAUGCUGGCGGCGCUGGGCGAUGGCUGUGAUGGUGGCUGCGAGACACGUUUUCGUCGCUGCAACUGCUGCUGGUGCUCCUAGGGUCAGACCCCCACCCACCUCUCACUUGUAUCGUUUCCCUCUACUGCAUGCGGUCUCCUUUUUUCUUUCUGAUACGUGGAGGUAGCACACAUCAGAUACACUAUGGAGGGAUGGGAGGGGCGCGCUCUUUCUUUUUGGAUGCGCUCGCCGCUCUGUCGCGCCCCUUGUUUCCCCUUUUGACCUUUUUUGCCUGCCCAACCUCCCGACUGCGUGCGGUGCAGACGCUGAUACAAUGAAGUGGGUCCGAAUGCCCGGCCAAGCAAUGCCGAGCUACUCAUUUCGCUUGUAUCGCUCGUUCCCGUCUCUGGCAUCGAUAGGGAGAAUAGUGGAGCAUGAGGGCGCUUCUUUUCCCCACCUCGUUUCUGUUUUUCUUUUCUGUGUUGAUGGCCUCGAACUGGAAAAGGAACACGGCAGCUGAACUGUUGAACAGGGCGAGCUAAGAUCAACUGCCUCACCCUCUGCCGAGUUGCUUCAUCAGUCUCACGCAGACACACCGGUCAUGUAUGCGUGCGGCAAGCGCACACUCACACCCAAACAGCGAUGCAAAAGAAAAGGCGCCCACGUGUGUGUGCGUGUGUCUGUGCGCUCGUCUCUUCUCUUUUAUGUGUAUAUAUGUGUUUCUUUACGCGAGAGGCAGUCGAAGGAGGCGAGACGCAGAGUGGGGGAGUGGGGGGAGACAAGAGUGCGCGAGAAGUGGCGAUGAUCUGCGGAUACUCCCUUUCGUUUCGUUCCUCGUUUGUGUGCGGGUGGGUGGGCUGCGGUGCACGCCCGCUAUCCGCUGCUGGCUCUGUGCCCCCCCCCUCGCCUUCUGCCUCCUUGUGGUGCUGCGUUUCCUUUUAUUCCUUUUUUUGCCCCCCCCCCCUUCCCCUCCCCGCUUUGGUGCUCCCACGCGUGCAUGUGCACAUAUGUGUGUGGCCUGUGGCUCUCGCCUCUUCCUUCCCUUUGAACUUCAG
rnacentral:misc_RNA from 1 species